UCAUGGCGAAGAUAACCGAAUCCAACAUUUGGUCUACAAGAUUAUGGUAAACCAAACCGGUAUGAGGAUCGGUAUAAGUUGAGUUUCCUUGAAACAGAGCGAAAUCCAACGUGGUGUGAUUAGGGUUUCUUGACCAACGGAAGUAAGGUUGAAGAUUGAUAAAGAAGUAAGAGUUUGUUCCGUUGAGAAACUUCAGCAACGGCAACAUUAACGGUAAGGCGAUAUCUCCCCGGAAUGUUGAGUUCGACGGCGGAAACGUUGAUCGAAGAGAAUCCAUAGCUAAAGGUGUACCGACUUUGAUGUUGUGAAUCCCAUGGGCUCUGAGAGAGUUCACGAUUUUUCGCAUUGCCGGUACGACAUUGCCGGUUAUGUUCCUAUCUUUGACGGAGAGGAUUUCGUUUCCAACAAGGACAAAUCGUAUUUGUGUUUGUGGGUAGUAAGGGAGGAUAUUGGUUUUGACCCAAUCUUCAGCUGUAGUUUGGUUGGCGCUGAGGGAAGUGAUCUGGUGGGUUGGCACCGCUAUGGUGACGUAGAGAUUGGUUUGAGAGAGGAGUGUUAGACUCUCUGGAUCGGCGUCGUAGAGCUUGACAUGACCGGCUUUGAUGAGUUUGAUGAAAUUGAUCGAUUGGUAAGGAGAUGGUAGGUUGUUUCCUUGUCUACCAUAGUUAAUACCAAUCUUGCUGGCUAACUCUAGCAUCGUUUUUUUCUGUAUAUACCUGUGCGGAUGUUGGAACCCAACCGCUGAGCAACUUGUACCUGUAAAAUCAAGAAAAUUAUGUUCAAUAUGAAUCUAAAAUGUAAGCAUCAUGGUGCACUUUGCAUAUGAUUCUUUGAUGGAGAAGAUGGCUUACUUGAAAAGACGACGAGGGUGAAGAGGAAGAAAGCAAGAAGAGACAUGUCUUUUUGUGUUUGGUUCGCAGUGUGUUAAUUGUGAUCAGAUUGUGGUAUGAGUAGGAAAAUGAGUAGGAAUGGUGUGAAAUUGGAGAUGAUGCAUCGAGGUAUUAAGUAGGAGUAUGGUGAAAGUUUAGUGGUGUAAAGAUAAUACAUUUAUAUUGAGUCAUGCAAGCGUAGCUUUUUUUUUUUGGCUUUUGGUUUCUUUUGAAACUAUAUCAUAAUUCUUUUGUGCUAUGAUUUUUAAAGAUUGUUGGUUAGAUGGUUCAUAUUGAACCACUCUUUUCCUGAUUUAUAACUUCAUCGUUUUACAUGUUGCGAGUUUUGUAAUGGUGACUGUAGAUUAGAAAAGUACUUCAACUAUAUAAAAGACUUUUUUGUACAUUGAGUUGAGAAGACUAAUGAAAAUCCUAUAUAUAAUCUUAACUGAACGGGACUCUCUAGGUCGAAAAACAAAGCCCUUUAUUAUGAACUACAAGUUUUGCCCUCAAAUUCAGACAUAAUCUUUUUAAGAAUAUCUUUUAUUUGGUUUUGUGUUUGAAGUUUGUUUAAAUUAUCAGGUUCAGAUAUCACUUUGUUAUUAUUUUGUCUUCUUUCAUUUAUUAAUGCCUUUUCCCAGUAAUAUUUUUUUAUAAUGAAUGUUAAAUAUUUUAAAAGAUGGAAACUCAUAUGUAGCUACUUGUGAAAAUGAUGUCAUCUACGUACACAAGCACCACAACGUAAUCAUCUUUUCUUCUGCGUACAAACAAAGAAUGAUCACCAUGAUCUUUAGUCAAUUCCAAAUCCAAAAGAGCAGAAGAAAACUUUCUAAACCACUGAAACUUGUUUUAACCCACAUAUAGAUUUCUUGAAUCGUAAAACAGCUCUUGGUGAUAGAGUAAUGCCUUUUCUCUCGGCAUCCUUAUGGUAUCUUCAUGAGGAUUUCUUCAUCUAAAUCCGCAUUCAAAAACGCAUUAGAAAUGUCACGUUGAGUAAGAGACCAUUUCUUAGUUGCGGAAACUUUGAGAAGAAGUUUGACUUUUGCCAUUUUAGCUACAUGGGAAAAGAUUUCAUUGUAAUGCUGACUCUCUUUCUGCAUAUAUUCUUGUGUCUCUCAAGAGUUCCAUUAGCGUUGAAUUUUAAAGUAUAAAGACACAUACAACCUGCAUAUUUCUUUACAAUAGGAAGACUAGUAACAUCCCAUAUUUUUGUUGAUUUCAUAGCUUUAAUUUCAACAUCCACUGCUUCACACCAUUUCUUGGAUUUCUGAGCCUCAAAAAAUGAAGUAGGAAUAGAAAUUUAUGUAAGGUUGUUUAUGUAAGAAAGGUAUGAAGGAUAUAGUUUUGAGUAUGAAAUACAAGAUGAAAUAGGAUGGUAUAUGAUGCAGCAUCACAUACGACAUUGGCGCCAACUUAGACUAUUCGAAUAUGUCUAAUUUCCGGUUUUAGUUUUCUUAUCGGUUUUCCUUUUUAUUUAAAUUUCCUUUUACAAUUAAGUCAUUGAUAUCCUUUUCCUAUUAGGGUUUGUCUAAAGGAAGGGAUAUAUAAACAAGUUUAGUCUUCAUUGUUUGGAUACGUUUGAUUUUAUAAUAGAAGAGCUUUGCUUUUAUCUCUUGUUUAGAUUCGAUUAAAUUCAAAACAGGAAGUUGGUCUCAAGAAGCUAUCGAGAGAAACUCUUGAUCGAUCCAAGAACAGGUCUCGAAGAACUCUAAAUUCUUAGAUCGACCGUUCACCCAUUCGUACGCUGUGCCAGGUUGGUAUCAGAGCUCUGCUACGCCCCGAAUCCUUCUCAACCCGCUACAAUGGUUCGUAAGACUCGUGCUCAGCAAUACGCUGAUGACGAAGAUAUCUCGGCUACUCAACAAUCUGUUAUUGAGCUCCAGGAACAGAUUGCAGACCUAGCUACCGCCGUCGCUGCAUUAACCGCACGACAAGCUGCACCUGCACUUCCCUCCGCAACGACCAGAUAUCUAUCCAUGAUAACUCCGACGAAGACGACGAGAAUCCAUUCGCUCCUCUUCGACAACCACAAAAACAUCAACGACCUCGACGCCGCAUCAACAAUAGCUCCGAUUCAGAAGAAGAAGCUAACGAGUCAUCAUGGAAAUCCAGCUUCAAGCUCGAGCUCCCAGUAUUCAAUGGCUCCACGAACGCUGAGGAAUUAUUGGAUUGGUUUGUAACGAUAGAAAAAAUUCUCGAGUUUAGAGAAAUUUCAUUGAACCGCUUUGUACCCCUAGUCGCCAUACGCUUCCGUGACCGAGCAGCCGCUUGGUGGUCACAAGUUAAAACGACAAGAGCACGAUUGGGAAAAUCGAAGAUUACUACUUGGGAUAAGCUUAAACGAGAGAUGCAAAAAAAAAUAUCUCCCGUACAACUAUGAUCAACUUAUGUUUCAGAAAUUUCAGAAUCUACGACAAGGCAUUCGAUCCGUCGACGAGUACGCGACAUAAUUUUUUAGAAUGAUCAACCGUGUGGAGAUUCGUGAUACCGAAGAACAACUAACAAUGCGUUUUGUGGGAGGUCUUGGCCAACAAAUCCAACACACUCUGAACCUGUUUCGUCCACAUUCUAUCUCAGAAGCUCAUCAGCAAGCCCUCACGAUAGAAACUCAGAACCGAACCGGUUCUCAAUCUUGGACGGCUCGAAAAACUCGACAGAAUCAAGCUGUUUCUUCAGCUACCCCCGAUAUUGUGCCUCCUAAGUCAGAAACCGCGAUCGUACCUGUCGACCCUUUGAAACAGCAACGCACGGGUGGCUUACGUUGUUUCUCGUGUGGAGAGACCGGUCACCGUCAAGCUUCUUGCCCACAUUGUAACAAACGUGGACUUCUUAUUGAAGAUAUCACGGGUGAUCAAGAACCGACGAAUGACGACGAAGAAAUAGAAACAGAAGAAGAAUUGUACCCAUCUUCAUGUUUUGUAAACAAAAAAAAAUUAUAUAUUUAAUAGUUAUUUGAUGUUUUUCUCAACAUUAAGCCACACGAAACAGAAACCAGAAAAUCUAGAGUGAGUAAAUACGAAUAAUCCAGCUUUGAUCAUCUUAAAUCUCUUUCAGGCGUUCUUGCUCACAGAGUAACGCUCGGGAACUUGCAGCGAUCAUUUCCUGUGAAAAGGCUUUAUUAUUUACAAUAUAUUCCACAAAUACCCUUACACUGUCACAUGAUCCGUGACUAUACAAAGGUUUAUUUAUAUCCAAUUUUGGAGAAAAAUAAAUAAAUGACUCACCAGGGUUAGUCGUGGUCUCAUGAGCCAAUCCAUUAAAGUAACAUUGGACGUUUUGGCUACGGAACUGAGCCCAGUACGAGUUAAGCGCGUAGCUUGCGUGCGAAUAAACAGAGACCGGCUCGUAACAUUCUCUGCCAGGAGCCAAAGCCGCACACGUCGUGUUGCUUCGGGCACAAGCCAUCCUCAAAGCUUCCUCAAGCUCAGCCUCGUUGGCUCCUUCGACCAGUACGCACCACACUUGACCCUUGUAAGGAACGUUAUUGGUCGGUUUAGGCAGAGGGUUAAAACCGGUUAAGGGUUUUUGACCGGUAAAAUCAAUGUCGUAGAUUGGUGUACCGUCCGGAUGCAAGAUUCCCCAAUGUCUUUGUGUUCCCGAACCGGGUUUCUUGUUUUCGUUAAAUAAGGAGAAAACAAAUGUCGGUAUAGGUGAACCGGGUCUAGCUGGUGUACCGAUUGGUGGAGUUGCGGUCAUCUUCUUGAUCAAAUUCCGGUUAUACGUGGCGGCGUUGAAAACGUUAGCUCCGAUUUCGUCGAUGUCGCCGGAGUUAGGCCAUCCGGUUUCAGAGAUUGCGAUACGGAUGUAUGGAUAACCGAGCUUGGUCAUGGCGAAGAUAACCGAAUCCAACAUUUGGUCUACAAGAUUAUGGUAAACCAAACCGGUAUGAGGAUCGGUAUAAGUUGAGUUUCCUUGAAACAGAGCGAAAUCCAACGUGGUGUGAUUAGGGUUUCUUGACCAACGGAAGUAAGGUUGAAGAUUGAUAAAGAAGUAAGAGUUUGUUCCGUUGAGAAACUUCAGCAACGGCAACAUUAACGGUAAGGCGAUAUCUCCCCGGAAUGUUGAGUUCGACGGCGGAAACGUUGAUCGAAGAGAAUCCAUAGCUAAAGGUGUACCGACUUUGAUGUUGUGAAUCCCAUGGGCUCUGAGAGAGUUCACGAUUUUUCGCAUUGCCGGUACGACAUUGCCGGUUAUGUUCCUAUCUUUGACGGAGAGGAUUUCGUUUCCAACAAGGACAAAUCGUAUUUGUGUUUGUGGGUAGUAAGGGAGGAUAUUGGUUUUGACCCAAUCUUCAGCUGUAGUUUGGUUGGCGCUGAGGGAAGUGAUCUGGUGGGUUGGCACCGCUAUGGUGACGUAGAGAUUGGUUUGAGAGAGGAGUGUUAGACUCUCUGGAUCGGCGUCGUAGAGCUUGACAUGACCGGCUUUGAUGAGUUUGAUGAAAUUGAUCGAUUGGUAAGGAGAUGGUAGGUUGUUUCCUUGUCUACCAUAGUUAAUACCAAUCUUGCUGGCUAACUCUAGCAUCGUUUUUUUCUGUAUAUACCUGUGCGGAUGUUGGAACCCAACCGCUGAGCAACUUGUACCUGUAAAAUCAAGAAAAUUAUGUUCAAUAUGAAUCUAAAAUGUAAGCAUCAUGGUGCACUUUGCAUAUGAUUCUUUGAUGGAGAAGAUGGCUUACUUGAAAAGACGACGAGGGUGAAGAGGAAGAAAGCAAGAAGAGACAUGUCUUUUUGUGUUUGGUUCGCAGUGUGUUAAUUGUGAUCAGAUUGUGGUAUGAGUAGGAAAAUGAGUAGGAAUGGUGUGAAAUUGGAGAUGAUGCAUCGAGGUAUUAAGUAGGAGUAUGGUGAAAGUUUAGUGGUGUAAAGAUAAUACAUUUAUAUUGAGUCAUGCAAGCGUAGCUUUUUUUUUUUGGCUUUUGGUUUCUUUUGAAACUAUAUCAUAAUUCUUUUGUGCUAUGAUUUUUAAAGAUUGUUGGUUAGAUGGUUCAUAUUGAACCACUCUUUUCCUGAUUUAUAACUUCAUCGUUUUACAUGUUGCGAGUUUUGUAAUGGUGACUGUAGAUUAGAAAAGUACUUCAACUAUAUAAAAGACUUUUUUGUACAUUGAGUUGAGAAGACUAAUGAAAAUCCUAUAUAUAAUCUUAACUGAACGGGACUCUCUAGGUCGAAAAACAAAGCCCUUUAUUAUGAACUACAAGUUUUGCCCUCAAAUUCAGACAUAAUCUUUUUAAGAAUAUCUUUUAUUUGGUUUUGUGUUUGAAGUUUGUUUAAAUUAUCAGGUUCAGAUAUCACUUUGUUAUUAUUUUGUCUUCUUUCAUUUAUUAAUGCCUUUUCCCAGUAAUAUUUUUUUAUAAUGAAUGUUAAAUAUUUUAAAAGAUGGAAACUCAUAUGUAGCUACUUGUGAAAAUGAUGUCAUCUACGUACACAAGCACCACAACGUAAUCAUCUUUUCUUCUGCGUACAAACAAAGAAUGAUCACCAUGAUCUUUAGUCAAUUCCAAAUCCAAAAGAGCAGAAGAAAACUUUCUAAACCACUGAAACUUGUUUUAACCCACAUAUAGAUUUCUUGAAUCGUAAAACAGCUCUUGGUGAUAGAGUAAUGCCUUUUCUCUCGGCAUCCUUAUGGUAUCUUCAUGAGGAUUUCUUCAUCUAAAUCCGCAUUCAAAAACGCAUUAGAAAUGUCACGUUGAGUAAGAGACCAUUUCUUAGUUGCGGAAACUUUGAGAAGAAGUUUGACUUUUGCCAUUUUAGCUACAUGGGAAAAGAUUUCAUUGUAAUGCUGACUCUCUUUCUGCAUAUAUUCUUGUGUCUCUCAAGAGUUCCAUUAGCGUUGAAUUUUAAAGUAUAAAGACACAUACAACCUGCAUAUUUCUUUACAAUAGGAAGACUAGUAACAUCCCAUAUUUUUGUUGAUUUCAUAGCUUUAAUUUCAACAUCCACUGCUUCACACCAUUUCUUGGAUUUCUGAGCCUCAAAAAAUGAAGUAGGAAUAGAAAUUUAUGUAAGGUUGUUUAUGUAAGAAAGGUAUGAAGGAUAUAGUUUUGAGUAUGAAAUACAAGAUGAAAUAGGAUGGUAUAUGAUGCAGCAUCACAUAC
rnacentral:lncRNA from 1 species